GUAAUGUUGUCAGAACUACCUCUCUGAUAUGCUUCUUGCAUCAGUCUCUUUGCUGCCUCCUCGGCGUCCUCAAUUUGUUUGAUCAUAGCAACAGCUUCCUGGAGAAAAGUGAAAGAUUGAGGGAGUUAGAUGAGUCAUCAUAUCUUUAUAGUGGUGAAGAUGAACCUACACAUGUUGCGCAGAAUUUAUAGAUAUUUUUUUAUGGCACAAUACCAAUGGUAGAGAGAGGAUCAGUCCUUGGUUUCUAGUUUAAAUGGUGGUUUCUAACAUGAAACAUUUUGGUGGAUUCUCUUGUGUUCAUGAAGGAAAUCUUUGACCCACAUGUUUCAGAAAGAAGUUAUUAACCUUAUCAAAUCAUGGCAGUAAAAGCACCUAAAAAUAGGUAAAUAAACAAACUCCAGGGUUCUUGAUAGGUUUAACUCAUUAUAUUUUCAUGGUUUGUGCCGGAAAUGUACUAUAGUUAUCAAAAGUGGAAGAAAUGAAAAUCAUUGCAAACCUCAUUCGAGACAACAUCCCAUAGUCCAUCACUGGCCAAUAUAA